AUACGUAGGGGGCGAGCGUUGUCCGGAAUGAUUGGGCGUAAAGGGCGCGUAGGCGGCCCGGUAAGUCUGGAGUGAAAGUCCUGUUUUUAAGAUGGGAAUUGCUUUGGAUACUGUCGGGCUUGAGUGCAGGAGAGGUAAGUGGAAUUCCCAGUGUAGCGGUGAAAUGCGGUGAGAUUGGGAGGAACACCAGUGGCGAAGGCGACUUACUGGACUGUAACGGACGCUGACGCGCGAAAGUUGGGGGAGCAAACAGGAUUAGAUACCCUGGUAGUCCACACUGGAAACGAUGAAUGCUAGGUGUAGGGUGUAUCGACCCCUUCUGUGCCGCAGGCAACACAAUAAGCAUUCAGCCUGGGGAGUACGGCCGCAAGGUUGAUACUCCCAGGAAUUGACGGGG
rnacentral:rRNA from 1 species